rnacentral:rRNA from 1 species
AGCGAACGCUGGCGGCAGGCCUAACACAUGCAAGUCGAACGGACCCUUCGGGGUUAGUGGCGGACGGGAGAGUAACACGUGGGAACGUGCCUUUAGGUUCGGAAUAGCUCCUGGAAACGGGUGGUAAUGCCGAAUGUGCCCUUCGGGGGAAAGAUUUAUCGCCUUUAGAGCGGCCCGCGUCUGAUUAGCUAGUUGGUGAGGUAACGGCUCACCAAGGCGACGAUCAGUAGCUGGUCUGAGAGGAUGACCAGCCACACUGGGACUGAGACACGGCCCAGACUCCUCCGGGAGGCAGCAGUGGGGAAUCUUGCGCAAUGCGCGAAAGGCUGACGCAGCCAUGCCGCGUGAAUGAUGAAGGUAUUAGGAAUGUAAAAUUCUUUCACCGGGGAGGAUAAUGACGGUACCCGGAGAAGAAGCCACGGCUAACUUCGUG